rnacentral:rRNA from 1 species
UGGGGAAUAUUGCACAAUGGGGGAAACCCUGAUGCAGCGACGCCGCGUGAGCGAAGAAGUAUUUCGGUAUGUAAAGCUCUAUCAGCAGGGAAGAAAAUGACGGUACCUGACUAAGAAGCACCGGCUAAAUACGUGCCAGCAGCCGCGGUAAUACGUAUGGUGCAAGCGUUAUCCGGAUUUACUGGGUGUAAAGGGAGCGUAGACGGAUGGGCAAGUCUGAAGUGAAAGCCCGGGGCUCAACCCCGGGACUGCUUUGGAAACUGUUUAUCUGGAGUGCUGGAGAGGUAAGUGGAAUUCCUAGUGUAGCGGUGAAAUGCGUAGAUAUUAGGAGGAACACCAGUGGCGAAGGCGGCUUACUGGACAGUAACUGACGUUGAGGCUCGAAAGCGUGGGGAGCAAACA